rfam:Oryza glumipatula chromosome 3, whole genome shotgun sequence.
AAUAAGUGCAAUUUUGCACUAUUCACGUUCAACGUUUAACCGUUCGUCUUAUUUGAAAUUUUUUUAUGAUUAGUAUUUUUAUUGCUAUUAGAUGAUAAAAUAUGAAUAAUACUUUAUGUGUGAUUAAAUAUUUUUAAUUUUUUAAAUAAGACGGACGGUCAAACGUUGGACACGGAUAUUUACUACUGUACUUAUU